rnacentral:misc_RNA from 1 species
GUGAAUCAUCAAAUUUUUGAACGCAAAUUGCACUCUCUUCGGAGAGUAUGCCUGUUUGAGGGUCAGUAUUAAUAAAAAUCGGUGUGUUGCUCCUUUUUGACCUUCUGGAGUUUUGGUCACCUUAAUAUCCUUUAGGUUUUAAGGGGCUUAAAAUUAACUUUUUUCCCGCAUUUUAAAUGUCCUAAAUUUCUUUUUUUUAUUCGUCUUUUUUAAUGCUCAAACUCCUAUAAGAUGCGUCCAUACCGU